rnacentral:rRNA from 1 species
CUUGCUCUGGUGGCGAGUGGCGAACGGGUGAGUAAUAUAUCGGAACGUACCCUAGAGUGGGGGAUAACGUAGCGAAAGUUACGCUAAUACCGCAUACGAUCUAAGGAUGAAAGUGGGGGAUCGCAAGACCUCAUGCUCGUGGAGCGGCCGAUAUCUGAUUAGCUAGUUGGUAGGGUAAAAGCCUACCAAGGCAUCGAUCAGUAGCUGGUCUGAGAGGACGACCAGCCACACUGGAACUGAGACACGGUCCAGACUCCUACGGGAGGCAGCAGUGGGGAAUUUUGGACAAUGGGCGAAAGCCUGAUCCAGCAAUGCCGCGUGAGUGAAGAAGGCCUUCGGGUUGUAAAGCUCUUUUGUCAGGGAAGAAACGGUGAGAGCUAAUAUCUUUUGCUAAUGACGGUACCUGAAGAAUAAGCACCGGCUAACUACGUGCCAGCAGCGGCGGUAAUACGUAGGGUGCAAGCGUUAAUCGGAAUUACUGGGCGUAAAGCGUGCGCAGGCGGUUUUGUAAGUCUGAUGUGAAAUCCCCGGGCUCAACCUGGGAAUUGCAUUGGAGACUGCAAGGCUAGAAUCUGGCAGAGGGGGGUAGAAUUCCACGUGUAGCAGUGAAAUGCGUAGAUAUGUGGAGGAACACCGAUGGCGAAGGCAGCCCCCUGGGUCAAGAUUGACGCUCAUGCACGAAAGCGUGGGGAGCAAACAGGAUUAGAUACCCUGGUAGUCCACGCCCUAAACGAUGUCUACUAGUUGUCGGGUCUUAAUUGACUUGGUAACGCAGCUAACGCGUGAAGUAGACCGCCUGGGGAGUACGGUCGCAAGAUUAAAACUCAAAGGAAUUGACGGGGACCCGCACAAGCGGUGGAUGAUGUGGAUUAAUUCGAUGCAACGCGAAAAACCUUACCUACCCUUGACAUGGCUGGAAUCCUUGAGAGAUCAGGGAGUGCUCGAAAGAGAACCAGUACACAGGUGCUGCAUGGCUGUCGUCAGCUCGUGUCGUGAGAUGUUGGGUUAAGUCCCGCAACGAGCGCAACCCUUGUCAUUAGUUGCUACGAAAGGGCACUCUAAUGAGACUGCCGGUGACAAACCGGAGGAAGGUGGGGAUGACGUCAAGUCCUCAUGGCCCUUAUGGGUAGGGCUUCACACGUCAUACAAUGGUACAUACAGAGCGCCGCCAACCCGCGAGGGGGAGCUAAUCGCAGAAAGUGUAUCGUAGUCCGGAUUGUAGUCUGCAACUCGACUGCAUGAAGUUGGAAUCGCUAGUAAUCGCGGAUCAGCAUGUCGCGGUGAAUACGUUCCCGGGUCUUGUACACACCGCCCGUCACACCAUGGGAGCGGGUUUUACCAGAAGUAGGUAGCUUAACC